rnacentral:rRNA from 1 species
GACGAACGCUGGCGGCGUGCUUAACACAUGCAAGUCGAACGCUGAAACCAGAUGCUUGCAUUUGGUGGAUGAGUGGCGAACGGGUGAGUAACACGUGGGUGAUCUGCCCUACACUUUGGGAUAAGCCUGGGAAACUGGGUCUAAUACCGAAUAUUCACAUCAUCGUAGGGGUGGUGUGGAAAGCCUUGUGCGGUGUGGGAUGAGCCUGCGGCCUAUCAGCUUGUUGGUGGGGUAAUGGCCUACCAAGGCGUCGACGGGUAGCCGGCCUGAGAGGGUGUGCGGCCAGAUUGGUACUGAGACACGGCACAAGCUCCUACGGGAGGCAGCAGUGGUGAAUAUUGCACAAUGGGCGCAAGCCUGAUGCAGCGACGCCGCGUGUGGGAUGACGGCCUUCGGGUUGUAACUCCUUUCGCUAGGGACGAAGCCUAUGGUGACGGUACCUGGAGAAGAAGCACCGGCUAACUACGUGCCAGCCGCCGCCGUAAGAC